GACGUAGGGGGCCAGCGUUGUUCGGAAUUACUGGGUGUAAAGAGCUCGUAGGCGGCUCAGCAAGUCAGGUGUGAAACCUCCAGGCUUAACCUGGAGACGCCACCUGAUACUGCUGUGGCUGGAGUCCGGUAGGGGAGCAGGGAAUAUCCGGUGUAGCGGUGAAAUGCUUAGAUAUCGGGAGGAACACCAGAGGCGAAGGCGGGUUGCUGGGCCGACACUGACGCUGAUGCGCGAAAGCCAGGGGAGCGAACGGG
rnacentral:rRNA from 1 species